UGGGUAAUCUUGUGAAACUUCCGUGAUGGGGAUAGAGCAUUGCAAUUAUUGCUCUUCAACGAGGAAUCCCUAGUAAGCGUGAGUCAUCAGCUCACGUUGAUUACGUCCCUGCCCUUUGUACACACCGCCCGUCGCUACUACCGAUUGAAUGGCUUAGUGAGACCCUCGGAUCGACUCAUGGAAACCUUCACGGGUAUCUAUUUGUUGAAAAGUUGGUCAAACUUGGUCAUUUAGAGGAAGUAAAAGUCGUAACAAGGUAGCCGUAGGUGAACCUGCGGAAGGAUCAUU
rnacentral:rRNA from 1 species